GGCGAAAUGGCAGAGCUGGUCGAUUGCGUCUGAUUUGAAAUCAGAUGAAUCUUAGGAUUCCGUGGGUUCGAAUCCCACUUUCGCCU
rnacentral:tRNA from 1 species